rnacentral:rRNA from 1 species
AACUUUCAACAAAGGAUCUCUUGGCUCUCGCAUCAAUGAAGAACGCAGCGAAGCGCGAAAUGUAGUGUGAAUCGCAGAACAUUGUGAAUCAUCGAAUCUUUGAACGCACAUUGCGCCUCUCUUAACAGGGAGGCAUGCCUGUCUGAGUCUCAUUU